CUGAGCUCAGGCGACUGCAGCAUGUUGUUGGUGAUGGAGGCGGAAUCCGUCCCUGGAUCGCUGCUGAACAUUGGAGUGUGUUAGUGAAUGGGAGUUUUUCGACCAGUCAGCGAUCAGCCUAUAAGAAAAAAUGAAAUGGAAAUUGUUCUGUCCAGGAGGUAGAGGUUGUCUACGGCCACAUGUAAACAGGAAAAAGAGAACAGGACCCACCCAGGGUGUUCCAGGACAUUCCGUGAAUUCCCAACUCCAACAAUUCCUUAAAGACAGCCCCUGCAAGGCAACAUGGACCCGCCGGUCCUCCUGUGAGACACACACUCACACACACUACAACCCCCUCAUGGUGAGCCCUCACAAGAACAGGAGCACAAACAUGUUUGCUGUGGAAAGAGAUUAAUCUGGAAUGAAGCACUGAUAUUUAAUCCCUAGCCACCGCCACUGUGUGUGUAUGUCUGCAUGUGCGUGUGCGUGUGUGUGUGUGUGUGUGUGUGUGUGUGUUUUGACCGCUUUCACAUGCCAUCACACAACAGGGAUUAAAUACAAAACACACAAUGCCAGUUCUGUUUUUAAACGUAAACUUUAUGCAGUAAUGACACUUACACUGUUCCACAACACACACACACGCACUCACACACACACUCGCGUGCGCUCGCAAUUCUGAUUCUCACAAUAGGUGUGCAAAUUCAUUGCUGAUUGCUCUUCUAUUUAAUCUUAUUGUCCUACCUCAGACCUGGGUGAUAUGGAAGCCCAAUAGUUGGACCAAAAAACGCUGGAGUGACGUCCGGUCAGUUUGUGAGCGCAGCUCAACUCCUUAGACUUUAAACCGCCCGGGUGUCAAUCACCGUGGUUCUCAAAUGGGGGUACGUGUACCCCUGGGGGUACUUAAAGGUAUGCCAAGGGGGUCGCCGGGGGCACUGGCGCCUAUCUCAGCUACAAUCGGGCGGAAGGCGGGAUACACCCUGGAAAAGUCGCUCUUCAUCGCAGGGCCAACACAGAUAGACAGACAACAUUCACACUCACAUUCACACACUAGGGCCAAUUUAGUGUUGCCAAUCAACCUAUCCCCAGGUGCAUGUCUUUCAAAAAUCCUUUAUAAAUAUACUUAUUGAAUAAUAUUUCAACCAAAUAUGAAUGUAAGUUCAUAAACUGUGAAAAGAAAUGCAACAAUGCAAUAUUCAGUGUUGACAGCUAGAUUUUUUUGUGGAAAUGUUCCAUAAGUAUUGAUGUUAAAGAUUUAUUUUUUUGUGAAGAAAUGUUUAGAAUUAAGUUCAUGAAUCCAGAUGGAUCUCUAUUACAAUCCCCAAAGA